rnacentral:rRNA from 1 species
UACAGAGGGUGCGAGCGUUGUUCGGAUUCAUUGGGCGUAAAGGGUGCGUAGGCGGUCGGGUAAGUCGGAUGUGAAAUCUCAGGGCUCAACCCUGAAACUGCAUUCGAUACUGCCUGGCUAGGGUACUGGAGAGGAGACUGGAAUUUACGGUGUAGCAGUGAAAUGCGUAGAUAUCGUAAGGAAGACCAGUGGCGAAGGCGAGUCUCUGGACAGUUACCGACGCUGAGGCACGAAGGCCAGGGGAGCAAACGGG